GGCCCCGCCCACCCUGAGCCGCCGCCGGGCCCAGCUCCGCAGCCCGGUUCCGAGAAGGAUGAUCGGGGUUGCGGAAAUGCGUCCCUCCCGCACUCAGGGCUGGGGCCACGCCAGGGCGUGGUCCCAGAGUGAGGAUUCUUUGGGGCUUGGAGGCUGCCCACCGGCCGCUCCCGUGAGGACCUUUGGAGAGUGGGAUGAGGGGUCUCCAGAACGUCCCCCUGACGCUUCACUGCCACCCUGUGAGCAAGAAGAUGCUGUGAGAACACUCCGUCUUGCAUACGGGUGCAAACAAAAAGAACAAGCGCCGCCGCGAGCUGGAAGGAUCCGGGACCUUGGGAGAGAGGCCUGGAGGAGACCCUGGUGCUGCCGCUCACAGCCGCGUCCCUCUGCCGCUCUGGCCCAGUGCCCCUGCCACAAAGCAGUUCAUUCAUUUACCAGAUGUUUAUGGGAGCCCACUGUGUGCCGCGCACGGCUCUAGGUUCUGGAGAAACGAGAGUGAACGGAGCCACGUAGGAGUUUGCAGCCUGAAGGGAGCCAGACAGUGCACAUCAACAGAACAUGCCAGGCGUGCCCUCGCGGCGGAGCAGGUUGUGGAUCCAGCAUUGUCUCUGUAGUGGUUCGGGUCCCUGCUGUGGCAUGGUUUCCAUCCUUGGUCCAAGAGCUGCUGCGUGCUGCGGGCACAGCCAAAAGGGAAAAUUCAAUUCAAUUCAAUGGCAACAAUAAAAUAAAAUAUGCUGGCUGGUGACUUGUGCA
rnacentral:lncRNA from 1 species